UGCAGCACUCACAGGGGCUGCCACUGGAGGACGAGCCUCGUGCGCCCUAUCGCCUUCCUCUCCUCACCUCCCGGCAAGCCAGGCGCCUCCUGCACUCUCUAAUGAGGAUUCAAGACGAACGAAGCACGAGGCUCACGCUUCGCAGUUGCAAGGCCGCGGCGCAAUAUCGAAACCUCGACCCGGGCCGGGCAUGGUGGCUCACGCCUGUUAUCCCAGCACUUUGGGAGGCCAAGGCGGUUGGAUCACGAGGUCAGGAGUUAAAGACCAGCCUGGCCAACAAGGAAUGAAUGGCUGGGCGCAGUGGCUCACACCUGUAAUCCCAGCACUUGGGAGGCCGAAGCGGGUGGAUCACAAGGUCAAGAGAUCGAGACCAUCCUGGUCAACAAGAGAGUCUUGCUCUGUCGCCCAGACUGGAGUGCAAUGGCACAAUCUCAGCUCACUGCAACCUCUGCUUCCUGGGUUCAAGCAAUUCUCAUGCCUCAGCUUCCCAAGUAGCUGGCAUGCACCACCAUGCCUGGCUUUUUGUAUUUUCAGUAGACAGAGUUUCGCCACGUUCACCAGGCUGGUCUCGAACUCCUGACCUCAUGUGAGCUGCCCACCUCAGCCUCCCAAAGUGCUGGGAUUGCAGGCGUGAGCCACCACACCCAGCCAUGGUACAUACUUCUAUACUUCUAAUGAAGUUUCCUCUACAUCUAAGCUUUCUGAUUUCCACCCACCAAGUACUUAAAAGUAACUCAUCCAGAGGGCAGUAAUGCUAUGUGAAAUCAACACAAAAGUUACUACUCCCGAGGAUCCUUUGAUGCAAUCUCCUGAUCCUUAUUCAAUGGACAAGAGGAUCUUCAACUUCAUUUCUUUUCUCCUCUCUACACUGUUUCUUAGUCAGAGUAGCUAUUUCCAUAACAAUAAAAACUGCAUCUUUCCUACAGAAU